rnacentral:tRNA from 1 species
GCUCUCGUAGUUCAAUGGAUAGAACAAUCCCGUCCUAAGGGAUAGACAUCAGUUCGACUCUGAUCGAGAGUA